AAAGACUUAGUCCUAGCCUUACCGUUCAUUAUUGCCAAACAUAUACAUGCAAGUAUCCGCACCCCAGUGUAAAUGCCCUCAGCCACCUUACCAAGAUAGGAGGAGCAGGUAUCAGGCACACUACGAACUGCAGCCCAAGACACCUUGCCCAGCCACACCCCCACGGGUACUCAGCAGUAAUUAAUAUUAAGCAAUAAGUGCAAACUUGACUUAGUUAUGGCAACCUUUAGGGCUGGUUAAUCUUGUGCCAGCCGCCGCGGUCAUACAAGAAACCCAAAUUAACAGCAACACGGCGUAAAGAGUGGCAUAAUGAUAUCACCACAACUAAGACCAAAACACAACUGAGCUGUCAUAAGCAUAAGAUGUGCGGAAGAACACCUAUAAAAGGAUCUUAGCCAACAUGACCCACUCACUGCCACGAAAGCUAAGACGCAAACUGGGAUUAGAUACCCCACUAUGCUUAGCCAUAAAUUUCGACACUUCCCCUCACUAAAGUGUCCGCCUGAGAACUACGAGCACAAACGCUUAAAACUCUAAGGACUUGGCGGUGCCUCAAACCCACCUAGAGGAGCCUGUUCUGUAAUCGAUAAUCCACGAUACACCCGACCGCCCUUCGCCCAAUUCAGCCUACAUACCGCCGUCGCCAGUUCACCUUAUCUGAAAGAGCAACAGUGAACACAAUAGCCCCAACCACGCUAAUAAGACAGGUCAAGGUAUAGCCCACAGGACGGAAGAAAUGGGCUACAUUUUCUAGCUUAGGAAACCACGAAAAGAGGGAUGAAACUUCCCCCUAGAAGGCGGAUUUAGCAGUAAAGCUGGACUAUAAUACCACCUUAAAGACGGCCCUGAGGCACGUACAUACCGCCCGUCACCCUCCUCGUAAGCUAUAUGCGCAAGUAAUUAACACCAACUCUCAGCCAAAGAUGAGGUAAGUCGUAACAAGGUAAGUGUACCGGAAGGUGCACUUAGCACAC
rnacentral:ncRNA from 1 species